UACGUAGGGGGCAAGCGUUGUCCGGAUUUAUUGGGCGUAAAGAGCGUGUAGGCGGCUUGGUAGGUCCGCUGUGAAAACUCGAGGCUCAACCUCGAGACGCCGGUGGAAACCAUCAGGCUAGAGUCCGGAAGAGGAGAGUGGAAUUCCUGGUGUAGCGGUGAAAUGCGCAGAUAUCAGGAAGAACACCCGUGGCUAAGGCGGCUCUCUAGUACGGUACUGACGCUGAGACGCGAAAGCGAGGGGAGCGAACAGG
rnacentral:rRNA from 1 species